AUUACUAUUACUAAAAUUAUUAAUUAACCGAAUAUAACUGAGUAAACAGCAAUUUCAAAGUUAUGUAGUAUUAGUUUUUUAAAGAUAUUAGCAUUAAAAGUUGUUACAAGGUGAGUGACAGGAUAGAUAUAUUCACGCUCCAAUUGUAUUACAGCAUGAAAAAAAAAUUCAAAAUGAAAUACUUCAAUAUCAUUUUUGUUUUGUGUUUUGUUAUGUGCAUCGUUUCCUUUUCGGUUGCCUCAGAUUCAACUCUGCAUGACGACGGUACUAAUGAUGAUAAAACUCAACAAGGUUCAGUACCAUUGAAUUCCGUCAACCUUGAUUCAGUUCCUCUUUAAAAAUUUUCAAAAUAUAUGAUAAAACAUUAAUUCAACAAUAUUAUAAUAUUUUCAGUUAAAAAAUCAAUUUAUAUAAAUUUCAUAAUAAAAAUUGUUAUACAUUUUAUAAUGAUUUUGUUUCCAAAAUAAAAUUUCUCAUAACAGUUUA